rnacentral:piRNA from 1 species
CACAUGUGUCCUUGUUUGUUCUGUGUGCC